rnacentral:tRNA from 1 species
GGGGAUAUAGCUCAGUUGGUAGAGUGCUUGCCUUGCAUGCACAAGGCCUGGGUUUAAUCCCCAGCACCACCC